rnacentral:ncRNA from 1 species
ACUCUCUGGAGACACCCGGACAGGAAGAGCCGGGGGCCGAAGGUGCAACAUGUGCAUUUUUUAUGUACAGGAAUCUCUCAGGCAAGCGGACAGAGAAG